rnacentral:rRNA from 1 species
UACGUAGGGACCAAGCGUUGUUCGGAUUUACUGGGCGUAAAGGGCGCGUAGGCGGCAAAUUAAGUCAUCUGUGAAAUCUCCGAGCUUAACUCGGAACGGUCAGGUGAUACUGAUCUGCUAGAGUGCGGAAGGGGCAAUCGGAAUUCUUGGUGUAGCGGUGAAAUGCGUAGAUAUCAAGAGGAACACCUGAGGUGAAGACGGGUUGCUGGCCGACACUGACGCUGACAGCGCGAAAGCCAGGGGAGCAAACGGG